rnacentral:rRNA from 1 species
CCUACGGGUGGCAGCAGUAGGGAAUUUUCGGCAAUGGGGGGAACCCUGACCGAGCAACGCCGCGUGAACGAAGAAGUUAUUCGUAAUGUAAAGUUCUUUUAACAGGGAAGAAAGAUAAAUUUGACGGUACCUGAAGAAUAAGCUCCGGCAAACUACGUGCCAGCAGCCGGGGUAAUACGUAGGGAGCGAGCGUUAUCCGGUAUUAUUGGGCGAAAAGGGUGCGUAGAUGGCAUAGUAAGUCUUUUGUAAAAAUGCUGGGCUAAACCCAGGAGGGCAAAAGAUACUGCAAGGCUAGAGUAUGACAGAGGCAAGUGGAACUACAGGUGUAGCGGUAAAAUGCGUAAAUAUAGGUAAGAACACCAGUGGCGAAGGCGGGUUGCUGGGUAGAGACUGACAUUGAGGCACGAAGGCGUGGGGAGCGAACAGGAUUAGAUACCCCAGUAGUC